CGUAACAAGGUUUCCGUAGGUGAACCUGCGGAAGGAUCAUUACCUAGAGUUGUAGGCUUUGCCUGCUAUCUCUUACCCAUGUCUUUUAAGUACCUUACGUUUCCUCGGCGGGUCCGCCCGCCGAUUGGACAAUUUAAACCAUUUGCAGUUGCAAUCAGCGUCUGAAAAAACUUAAUAGUUACAACUUUCAACAACGGAUCUCUUGGUUCUGGCAUCGAUGAAGAACGCAGCGAAAUGCGAUAAGUAGUGUGAAUUGCAGAAUUCAGUGAAUCAUCGAAUCUUUGAACGCACAUUGCGCCCCUUGGUAUUCCAUGGGGCAUGCCUGUUCGAGCGUCAUUUGUACCUUCAAGCUCUGCUUGGUGUUGGGUGUUUGUCUCGCCUCUGCGUGUAGACUCGCCUCAAAACAAUUGGCAGCCGGCGUAUUGAUUUCGGAGCGCAGUACAUCUCGCGCUUUGCACUCAUAACGACGACGUCCAAAAGUACAUUUUUACACUCUUGACCUCGGAUCAGGUAGGGAUACCCGCUGAACUUAAGCAUAUCAAUAA
rnacentral:misc_RNA from 1 species